rnacentral:rRNA from 1 species
UCCGGUUGAUCCCGGCGGAGGUCACUGCUAUCGGUGUUCGUCUAAGCCAUGCGAGUCAUAUGUUCUUCGUGAACAUGGCGUACUGCUCAGUAACACGUGGAUAACCUGCCCUUGGGUCUGGCAUAACCCCGGGAAACUGGGGAUAAUACCGGAUAACGCAUAUAUGCUGGAAUUCUUUAUGCGUGAAAUGGAUUCGUCUGCCCAAGGAUGGGUCUGCGGCCUAUCAGGUAGUAGUGGGUGUAAUGUACCUACUAGCCGACGACGGGUACGGGUUGUGAGAGCAAGAGCCCGGAGAUGGAUUCUGAGACAUGAAUCCAGGCCCUACGGGGCGCAGCAGGCGCGAAAACUUUACAAUGCGGGAAACCGUGAUAAGGGGACACCGAGUGCCAGCAUCAUAUGUUGGCUGUCCGGGUGUGUAAAAUACAUCUGUUAGCAAGGGCCGGGCAAGACCGGUGCCAGCCGCCGCGGUAACACCGGCGGCCCGAGUGGUGAUCGUGUUUAUUGGGUCUAAAGGGUCCGUAGCCGGUUUGGUCAGUCCUCCGGGAAAUCUGACGGCUUAACCGUUAGGCUUUCGGGGGAUACUGCCAGACUUGGAACCGGGAGAGGUAAGAGGUACUACAGGGGUAGGAGUGAAAUCUUGUAAUCCCUGUGGGACCACCUGUGGCGAAGGCGUCUUACCAGAACGGGUUCGACGGUGAGGGACGAAAGCUGGGGGCACGAACCGGAUUAGAUACCCGGGUAGUCCCAGCCGUAAACGAUGCUCGCUAGGUGUCAGGCAUGGCGCGACCGUGUCUGGUGCCGCAGGGAAGCCGUGAAGCGAGCCACCUGGGAAGUACGGCCGCAAGGCUGAAACUUAAAGGAAUUGGCGGGGGAGCACAACAACGGGUGGAGCCUGCGGUUUAAUUGGACUCAACGCCGGACAACUCACCGGGGGCGACAGCAAUAUGUAGGUCAGGCUGAAGACCUUGCCUGAAUCGCUGAGAGGAGGUGCAUGGCCGUCGCCAGUUCGUACUGUGAAGCAUCCUGUUAAGUCAGGCAACGAGCGAGACCCA